GACGAACGCUGGCGGCGUGCUUAACACAUGCAAGUCGAACGGAAAGGCCCUGCUUUUGUGGGGUGCUCGAGUGGCGAACGGGUGAGUAACACGUGAGUAACCUGCCCUUGACUUUGGGAUAACUCCAGGAAACUGGGGCUAAUAUCGGAUAGGAUCUCCUGCUGCAUGGUGGGGGUUGGAAAGUUUCGGCGGUUGGGGAUAGACUCGCGGCUUAUCAGCUUGUUGGUGGGGUAGUGGCUUACCAAGGCUUUGACGGGUAGCCGGCCUGAGAGGGUGACCGGCCACAUUGGGACUGAGAUACGGCCCAGAAUCCUACGGGAGGCAGCAGUGGGGAAUAUUGCACAAUGGGCGGAAGCCAGAUGCAGCAACGCCGCGUGCGGGAUGACGGCCUUCGGGUUGUAAACCGCUUUCGCCUGUGACGAAGCGUGAGUGACGGUAAUGGGUAAAGAAGCACCGGCUAACUACGUG
rnacentral:rRNA from 1 species